UGACCUCGGAUCANGGUAGGAA
rnacentral:rRNA from 1 species